GAAUGAUUGGCAUAAAGCGUCUAUAUGUGGCUUUUUAAGUGCGCCGUCAAAUCCCAGGGCUCAACCCUGGACAGGCAGUGGAAACUACCAAGCUGGAGUACGGUAGGGGGAGAGGGAAUUUCCGGUGGAGCGGUAAAAUGCAUAGAGAUCAGAAAGAACACCAACGGCGAAAGCACUCUGUUGAGCCAACGCUGACAUUGAGAGACGAAAGUUAGGGUAGCGAAUGGGAUUAGAUACCCCAGUAGUCCUAGCCGUAAACGAUGGAUACUAGGCGCUGUAUGUAUCGACCCGUGCAGUGCUAUAGCUAACGCGUUAAGUAUCCUGCCUGGGGAGUACGUUCGCAAGAAUGAAACUCAAAGGAAUUGAUAGGGGCCCGCACAAGAGGUGGAGCAUGUGGUUUAAUUUGAUGUAAAGCGAAAAACCUUACCAGGGCUUGACAUGUCGCGAAUCCUCUUGAAAGAGAGGGGUGCCUUCGGGAACGCGAACACAGGUGGUGCAUGGCUGUCGUCAGCUCAUAUCGUAAGGUCUUUGGUUAAGUCCCGCAACGAGCGCAACCCUUGUGUUUAGUUACCAACCGUUGAGGUUGGAACCCUGAGCAUACUGCCAGUGAUAAGUCGAAGGAAGGUGAGGAUGACGUCAAGUCAUCACGCCCCUUAUGCCCUGGGCGACACAGGUGCUACAAUGGCCGGGACAAAGGGUUGUGAUCCCGUGAGGGUGGGCUAGCUCUAAAAACCCGUCCUUAGUUUGGAUUGUAGGCUACAACUCGCCUGCAUGAAGCCGGAAUCGCUAGUAAUCGCUGGUCAGCCAUACAGCGGUGAAUUCGUUCUCGAGCCUUGUACACACCGUCCGUCACACUAUGGGAGCUUUCCAUGCCCGAAGUCGUUACCUUAACUGCAAGAAGUGAGAUGCCGAAGGCGGGACUAGUGACUGGAGUGAAGUCGUAACAAGGUAGACGUACUGGAAGGUGCGGCUGGAUCACCUCCUUU
rnacentral:ncRNA from 1 species